UAGCGGGUUUUCUGUAGUGCGUUAUGCGCACUUGUGAUAUGAUUCGGAUGACACCGGAAUGGGCAUACUCUACUUACUGGAGCUUCACGUGAAGGAAAGAGUAGGGGAGGAUGGAGUUCGCUUCUGCUGCAGUGUUCAUGUGUUGCUGACGAGACGCUGAACAUGUGACGAGUUUGAACAGCAAAUGCCAACUUGUGCUGCCACCGGACAGUAAAAAAAAGUUUCUGGCGCAGCACAGCAAUGAUCUUAUCCAGAUGGUGGGACAAAGGCAUUUCCUAACAAACAUGCGAUCUUUCUUGGUUGUUACCUUUAAGGUUGGAACCAACAUGCAGUAACUCCAGCAGGAAGAAAGACAAUACGUUUUAGCUGUUGGUGAUCAUUUCCUAAGUGUUGAUACAUUGGUGUUUACGCCAUUAAACCUUUAUGUGUAUGUUA